GAGAUUGAUGUACCCAGCAAGAUUCACGCAAGAGAAAGAGUCGCUCGUUUGCUUUCCUGUGUUGUUCCUUGUUCCUUCACGCACGUGCACCGUUGACCCACGGAAAUUAAAUAACACCCAAGUAAAUCGUCCAGUCCUUCCGUGGAACGCAGCCCUUGAACACUCUCCACAAUUUUGUUCACCAAAAUGACGGUCCGAAUUUUGCAUAUUUUACCCCUGACCAGCUUCGCUAUCAACUGGCACAAAGGAGGCGACCUCGUUGAACAAAUAGUCUAUGCAAAUGGCGGCUUCGUAAUUGCGAAUCCAAUCGACCGAAUAAUCACGUUGGUGGAAAAAUCUGGCAGAAAACAUAUUUUCCCGAUCCGUCGAAUUCCCGAAAUAAAGCUGGGAACUUCCGACUUGGAAAUGUUGGUUCGACUCGGGUCUCGACAAUCGUUCAUCCUAAACUUUGAAAAUGAGUGGGCAAAGGACACCGUGAUCGGAGAGCUGAACGUCAUCCGGGCAUAUUUCCGUGAUUUUGGGGUUUAGAAAAUUUUUUCCGAUUUGAGAAUUUUGACAACAAUGAACGGACCACAGCAAUUAUCACUCGCCCAUUUGAAGUCUUCCAAAGCCUAUACAUGCCUAUACAGUUAAAAAACAAAAAAAUUUAAAUUCUAGAGCAUUUCUUAUAUGUUAUAAUAAUUAAGUUCUUCCAUGGAUCUUGUUAAGGUCUUUAAUAUUCAUUCUACUUUUGUUUGCCUUUUUUGAUACACAUUUACAUAAUUUCAAAAACUAAAUAUGUAUUACAGAACUACAUAGAUAAAUAUGUGUGUGAAUAAGUUAGUUAAUUAAAUUUUAACAGUUUAAGGCAUUCUUUCGCCAACUUGCAUUAGUUGAUAGGAAAUAAUUUUAGAAAUACUUAUCCACAGUUGUUCAGCAGAUAAAUAAUUAACUGUAUAAAUGAGUAUCUGAUCUAAAAUA